UACGAAGGGGGCUAGCGUUGUUCGGAUUUACUGGGCGUAAAGCGCACGUAGGCGGAUUGUUAAGUCAGGGGUGAAAUCCUGGAGCUCAACUCCAGAACUGCCUUUGAUACUGGCAAUCUUGAGUCCGGAAGAGGUGAGUGGAACUCCUAGUGUAGAGGUGAAAUUCGUAGAUAUUAGGAAGAACACCAGUGGCGAAGGCGGCUCACUGGCCCGGUACUGACGCUGAGGCGCGAAAGCGUGGGGAGCAAACAGG
rnacentral:rRNA from 1 species